rnacentral:rRNA from 1 species
CCUACGGGCGGCAGCAGUGGGGAAUAUUGGACAAUGGGGGGAACCCUGAUCCAGCCAUGCCGCGUGUGUGAAGAAGGCCCUCGGGUUGUAAAGCACUUUCAGUGAGGAAGAACGCCUGGUGGUUAAUACCCAUCAGGAAAGACAUCACUCACAGAAGAAGCACCGGCUAACUCCGUGCCAGCAGCCGCGGUAAUACGGAGGGUGCGAGCGUUAAUCGGAAUUACUGGGCGUAAAGCGCGCGUAGGUGGCUUGAUAAGCCGGUUGUGAAAGCCCCGGGCUCAACCUGGGAACGGCAUCCGGAACUGUCAAGCUAGAGUGCAGGAGAGGAAGGUAGAAUUCCCGGUGUAGCGGUGAAAUGCGUAGAGAUCGGGAGGAAUACCAGUGGCGAAGGCGGCCUUCUGGACUGACACUGACACUGAGGUGCGAAAGCGUGGGUAGCAAACAGGAUCAGAUACCCGGGUAGUC